rnacentral:rRNA from 1 species
GACGAACGCUGGCGGCGUGCCUAAUACAUGCAAGUGGGACGCAAGGAAACACACUGUGCUUGCACACCGUGUUUUCUUGAGUCGCGAACGGGUGAGUAACGCGUAGGUAACCUGCCUAUUAGCGGGGGAUAACUAUUGGAAACGAUAGCUAAUACCGCAUAAUAUUAAUUAUUGCAUGAUAAUUGAUUGAAAGAUGCAAGCGCAUCACUAGUAGAUGGACCUGCGUUGUAUUAGCUAGUUGGUAAGGUAAGAGCUUACCAAGGCGACGAUACAUAGCCGACCUGAGAGGGUGAUCGGCCACACUGGGACUGAGACACGGCCCAGACUCCUACGGGAGGCAGCAGUAGGGAAUCUUCGGCAAUAGACGAAAGUCUGACCGAGCAACGCCGCGUGAGUGAAGAAGGUUUUCGGAUCGUAAAGCCCUGUUGUAAGUCAAGAACGUGGGUGAGAGUGGAAAGUUCACACAGUGACGGUAGCUUACCAGAAAGGGACGGCUAACUACGUG